UACGUAGGGUGCAAGCGUUGUCCGGAAUUAUUGGGCGUAAAGAGCUCGUAGGCGGUCUGUCGCGUCGGAUGUGAAAAUCCAGGGCUCAACCCUGGACCUGCAUUCGAUACGGGCAGACUAGAGUUCGGUAGGGGAGACUGGAAUUCCUGGUGUAGCGGUGAAAUGCGCAGAUAUCAGGAGGAACACCGGUGGCGAAGGCGGGACUCUGGGCCGAUACUGACGCUGAGGAGCGAAAGCGUGGGGAGCAAACAGG
rnacentral:rRNA from 1 species